rnacentral:rRNA from 1 species
UACGUAGGAGGCAAGCGUUGUCCGGAUUUAUUGGGCGUAAAGAGCUCGUAGGCGGUUUGGUAAGUCUGGUGUGAAAUCUCCACGCUCAACGUGGAGGGGCCACCCGAUACUGCCAUGACUGGAGUCCGGUAGAGGAGUGUGGAAUUCCCGGUGUAGCGGUGAAAUGCGCAGAUAUCGGGAGGAACACCUGAGGUGAAGACGGGUUGCUGGGCUGACACUGACGCUGAGUGCGCGAAAGCCAGGGGAGCAAACGGG